UACGGAGGAUGCAAGCGUUAUCCGGAAUGAUUGGGCGUAAAGCGUCCGCAGGUGGCAAUGUAAGUCUGCUGUUAAAGAGUGAGGCUCAACCUCAUAAGAGCAGUGGAAACUACAUAGCUAGAGUGCGUUCGGGGCAAAGGGAAUUCCUGGUGUAGCGGUGAAAUGCGUAGAGAUCAGGAAGAACACCGGUGGCGAAAGCGCUUUGCUAGGCCGCAACUGACACUGAGGGACGAAAGCUAGGGGAGCGAACGGG
rnacentral:rRNA from 1 species